rnacentral:rRNA from 1 species
GACGAACGCUGGCGGCGUGCCUAAUACAUGCAAGUUGAGCGAUGAAGAUUGGUGCUUGCACCAAUUUGAAGAGCAGCGAACGGGUGAGUAACGCGUGGGGAAUCUGCCUUUGAGCGGGGGACAACAUUUGGAAACGAAUGCUAAUACCGCAUAACAACUUUAAACAUAAGUUUUAAGUUUGAAAGAUGCAAUUGCAUCACUCAAAGAUGAUCCCGCGUUGUAUUAGCUAGUUGGUGAGGUAAAGGCUCACCAAGGCGAUGAUACAUAGCCGACCUGAGAGGGUGAUCGGCCACAUUGGGACUGAGACACGGCCCAAACUCCUACGGGAGGCAGCAGUAGGGAAUCUUCGGCAAUGGACGAAAGUCUGACCGAGCAACGCCGCGUGAGUGAAGAAGGUUUUCGGAUCGUAAAACUCUGUUGGUAGAGAAGAACGUUGGUGAGAGUGGAAAGCUCAUCAAGUGACGGUAACUACCCAGAAAGGGACGGCUAACUAC